AGUCUUGUAUUGGAUGAUGGGAAUUUAAACCUCUUCCAGAGUAUCAAUUGGAGGGCAAGUCUGGUGCCAGCAGCCGCGGUAAUUCCAGCUCCAAUAGCGUAUAUUAAACUUGUUGCAGUUAAAAAGCUCGUAGUUGAAUUUCUGCUGUAUCGUUUUCCUCUGCUUGACAGUUGGAUUUCGUUAUGGCUUAGUUGGGUUACAGUUUCUGUUACCUGACGUUUACUUUGAGAAAAUUAGAGUGCUUCAAGCAGGCUUUUGCCUUGAAUACUUUAGCAUGGAAUAAUAGAGUAGGACUUUGGUUCUAUUUUGUUGGUUUUAGGAGCCAGAGUAAUGGUUAAUAGGAACAGUUGGGGGCAUUCGUAUUUGACUGUCAGAGGUGAAAUUCUUAGA
rnacentral:rRNA from 1 species